CCCCAGUAACGGCGAGUGAAGCGGCAACAGCUCAAAUUUGAAAUCUGGCCCCCCCCCCCCGGGGGGCCCGAGUUGUAAUUUGCAAAGGAUGCUUUGGGCGAGGCGCCUUCCGAGUUCCCUGGAACGGGACCCCCCAAAGGGUGAGAGCCCCGUCUGGUCGGACGCCGAGCCUCUGUAAAGCUCCUUCGACGAGUCGAGUAGUUUGGGAAUGCUGCUCAAAAUGGGAGGUAUAUGUCUUCUAAAGCUAAAUACCGGCCAAAGACCGAUAGCGCACAAGUAGAGUGAUCGAAAGAUGAAAAGCACCUUGAAAAGGGGGUUAAACAGUACGUGAAAUUGUUGAAAGGGAAGCGCUCGUGACCAGACUUGGGGCGGGCGGAUCAGCCGGCGUUCUCGCCGGCGCACUCCGCCCGUCCCAGGCCAGCAUCAGUUCGCGCCGGGGGACAAAGGCGGCGGGAACGUGGCUCCCCAGGGAGUGUUAUAGCCCGCCGCGCCAUGCCCCGGGGGCGGACUGAGGGCCGCGCAUCACUGCAAGGAUGCUGGCGUAAUGGUCACCAGCGACCCGUCUUGAAACACGGGCCAAGGAGUCGUCCUCGUAUGCGAGUGUUCGGGUGUCAAACCCCUACGCGGAAUGAAAGUGAACGUGGGUGAGAGCUUCGGCGCAUCAUCGACCGAUCCUGAUGUUCUCGGAUGGAUUUGAGUAGGAGCAUACGGGGCCGGACCCGAAAGAAGGUGAACUAUGCCUGUGUAGGGUGAAGCCAGAGGAAACUCUGGUGGAGGCUCGCAGCGGUUCUGACGUGCAAAUCGAUCGUCAAACAUGGGCAUGGGGGCGAAAGACU
rnacentral:rRNA from 1 species